GUUAUACUUCCUCCGUCUUAAAAUUCUUAUCUAACUUGUAUAUAUAUAAAUGUAUCUAGUUACGUUUUAGUAUUUACAUACAUUCAUAUUUAGAUAAAGUUAAGACAAGAAUUUUAAGACGGAGAGAGUACUAC
rnacentral:pre_miRNA from 1 species